UACGUAGGUGGCAAGCGUUGUCCGGAUUUACUGGGCGUAAAGAGCGCGCAGGCGGUCGUUCAAGUCGCGUGUGAAAGCCCCCGGCUCAACUGGGGAGGGUCACGCGAUACUGAUCGACUCGAAGGCGGGAGAGGGAAGUGGAAUUCCCGGUGUAGUGGUGAAAUGCGUAGAUAUCGGGAGGAACACCAGUGGCGAAGGCGACUUCCUGGCCUGUUCUUGACGCUGAGGCGCGAAAGCUAGGGGAGCAAACGGG
rnacentral:rRNA from 1 species